GCCAUGGGCUCCAGGCUCCUCUGCUGGGUGGCCCUUGGUCUCCUGGGAGCAGGCCCUGCGGAUGCUGAGGUCACUCAAAGCCCCAGACACCUGGUCACAGCAAGGGGUCAGCCAGUGACCCUGAGAUGCAACUAUGAAUCUGGGCACUUGUCUGUGUACUGGUACCAACAGGCCCUGGGAAAGGGUCCCGACUUCCUCGUUUCUUAUUACAAUGGGCAAGAGAAUCAGAAAGGCAGCAUCACUGCGCGCUUCUCAGUCCAACAGUUCAAGGACAACUCCAGCUCUGAGCUGAGCGUGAGCUCCGUGGAAGGGGCCGACUCUGCCCUGUACCUCUGUGCCAGCAGCUUAUCACAGCCCUGCAUGCUCGGCUGCCUCCUGCACAAAAACAGCCCUGGGCAGCCCAGGAAGUGGUAG